rnacentral:rRNA from 1 species
AGAGUUUGAUCAUGGCUCAGGAUGAACGCUAGCUACAGGCUUAACACAUGCAAGUCGAGGGGCAGCAUUGGAGUAGCAAUACUCAGAUGGCGACCGGCGCACGGGUGAGUAACACGUAUCCAACCUGCCGCUUACUCGGGGAUAGCCUUUCGAAAGAAAGAUUAAUACCCGAUGGUAUAAAGAGUUCGCAUGUUCUCUUUAUUAAAGAAUUUCGGUAAGCGAUGGGGAUGCGUUCCAUUAGAUAGUUGGCGGGGUAACGGCCCACCAAGUCUACGAUGGAUAGGGGUUCUGAGAGGAAGGUCCCCCACAUUGGAACUGAGACACGGUCCAAACUCCUACGGGAGGCAGCAGUGAGGAAUAUUGGUCAAUGGACGAGAGUCUGAACCAGCCAAGUAGCGUGAAGGAUGACUGCCCUAUGGGUUGUAAACUUCUUUUAUAAGGGAAUAAAGUGAGGGACGUGUCCCUUUUUGUAUGUACCUUAUGAAUAAGGAUCGGCUAACUCCGUGCCAGCAGCAGC